rnacentral:rRNA from 1 species
UACGAAGGGGGCUAGCGUUGCUCGGAAUCACUGGGCGUAAAGCGCACGUAGGCGGCUUUCUAAGUCAGGGGUGAAUCCUGGAGCUCAACUCCAGAACUGCCUUUGAUACUGGAGAGCUUGAGUCCGGAAGAGGUGAGUGGAACUCCGAGUGUAGAGGUGAAAUUCGUAGAUAUUCGGAAGAACACCAGUGGCGAAGGCGGCUCACUGGCCGGUACUGACGCUGAUGUGCGAAAGCGUGGGGAGCAA